AACAUUUUAAACCAAGUGCUCAACAAUGACAAUUCAGAUAACUAUCGAAAUAGUAUUAUACUGUGUUUAUAGUUUUGAAAGAGUCAACUCAGACCGCUAUUAACUGGUUAUGCACAAGGCAUUUUAGAUUUGCAAGCGUAGGGGAUGAAUCUUGACAGGCUGUUAAUUUUAUAGAAGCUAAUGUUGACCUUAUUUUAAAUAUAAUAGAGUGUUAUUGUCUGGAGGUGUUUGAUAUUCAGGUAAGAUUUUAUUAAGUUAAUUU